GAGUCUGCAGCUGUCGCCACAGAACUUCACACCGCCACUCAUGGGAUUUGCCCAUGAAUGGCGGAAAGGUUAAACGGUCUACUCGGUAGUGUGUGCAGAUGUCGUGGUAGGUAAUAAGUCUAUCCCGCGCUGUAAACGGCGCCUCCUCCGUGGCGAGUUCCGACACAUUUGAUGCCUGAGCCCGGACUGCAUUUCUCGCUCACGGCGCAGUGUGAACAGGACUGUGGGCCGUGUACUUCAUAGAGUCCGGUGCCGAGUAUUGCGGAAUCUCGCGAAAGUAGUGAGACUAUACCAGUAAGGGAUCUACCCACAAUACCCGCCUACUUUUGCAAAACGACGAAAGCAAAAAACUAACGGCACACUAUAAAUUGUGGGCACAAGCGAGGUUACUUGUCCUGCCUUUUCAUUUACUAGAUUGCACCCGGCACUGUAAUACGCGAGGGAGACGCCAAUAGAAGUAUUGAUGUCUUUCUCUCCAGAACAAAAAUGAGCCGGUUAUUAAGAAAUUCAUCUCGGAGAACUCAAGACUGUUGAUAAACUGCAAUUUUCGAUAGGUCAUAACAGCGUUUGACGGUGCUCAGAGUAGAAGUCCAAGGCUUCGCGUCCACAUCUCUAUCUCCGUGUUUCUCACAUACGCGUGCCAUGUUUUUCUUUCCUUUUUCAAUGGUGCCGUGAACGAGCGGCACGAGAUCAACCUCAUCAUGUCAGACACCCAUCUGUCAAGCAAAGACGAUGCUGGUAUUUCCUGCAUCGCCACCAGGACCAGCGUGGGAGGCAGCACGGUGGCCGACUAUAAUAGCCAGGCCAGCAAGUGGCCACCUGUUCUCUUGCAGCUUGGUGCACUUUUAUCGGCGCUGUGGACCUUGUGGCCAGCUCUCACAGCAGUUUGGUGCCUUGCUUCCCGCACUACGGAACUGCCGGGCAGCUGUUAUAGAGGCCUGGCAACUUGACCGCCCUGUGGACCAGGUGGCCAGCUGUUCUAGAGGCCUGCUAUCAUGCUGGCCGCUCUGUGCACUUGGUGGCAAAAUCUUCUAGCUGCCUACUGUGUUGCUGCCCGACGUGCGGACCUUGUUGCUGGCUGUUCUAGAGGCCUGCAUGUGGAUGGCAGUUCUUGCGGCCUGGUGUCUUUCUGCUUGCCCUGCGGACCAAGUGGAUGGCAGUCCUGGCGGCCUGGUGUAUUGCUGCCCCUGCCCGGUCAACCUGAUGGCCAGCUGUUCUAGCGACCUAGUAUGCUGCUGAUCAAAAGAUUGGCGGCAUGAUACAAAAUCACAGGAGGCAAAACUCUUUCUUCCUAUACCAAUUUCUUUAUAGACACGACUAGUUUCGCCAAGUUAUGCCCAAC